CAGUGACACUGCAAAGGGCCUGGCAGGUGGAGACCAAACAAGAGCCAUUUCACUAACAGGAAGAUCCCCCAAGAUGCAGUCCAGACUCCCCGCUCUAUUGUGCACAGUGGUGGCCUUCAUCAGCUUUGGUUCCAGCAAUACACAGAGCGUCACUCAAUAUCCAAGUUCGGUGCAUAAACAAGAGGGAGAAUCUGCGAAUUUGUUCUGCCGUUUCACACUCAGCUAUACUUACUAUGUGAUGAGCUGGUUUCAACAGCCUUCCAAUGGAAAGAUGACUGAAAUCAUUUAUCUUUAUUCUGAUAGCACAAACACUAAGAAAGGACGAUAUUCUGUGUCAUAUCAGGCAAGAGACAAAGCUCUAAGGCUCACCAUCACAGGCUUGAUGCCUACAGACUCAGGUGUCUAUUUCUGUGCUGUUGGAGAAGCUGCACGGUGAGAGGAAUGACAGGGAGAGCCUUACAAAAACCCCCUGGGCUCAGCAUGAAACCGUCACCUGCUCCAGGAGCUUAGGGAAAACAACCCACAGAACAGGAAAAGGUAAACAGAAGGUAGGGUGGGUGGCACUGGUGGGUCUAGAGAGGAAGCUGAUGAAUGUUCUAGCAAUAAUCUUCCCACAUCUGGUAUCAGAUGAAGAGUUGUGGUUACAAGAUCCCAGUCUCACAAGUAUUUUCAUCGCAAAAUCCCAUAACCAAUCAGGAUAUGCAUCUGUCUCUUCUGCUGCCCAACAUCCAUCCCUCUGUUU